ACUGCAAGUCGAACGAACUCUGGUAUUGAUUGGUGCUUGCAUCAUGAUUUACAUUUGAGUGAGUGGCGAACUGGUGAGUAACACGUGGGAAACCUGCCCAGAAGCGGGGGAUAACACCUGGAAACAGAUGCUAAUACCGCAUAACAACUUGGACCGCAUGGUCCGAGCUUGAAAGAUGGCUUCGGCUAUCACUUUUGGAUGGUCCCGCGGCGUAUUAGCUAGAUGGUGGGGUAACGGCUCACCAUGGCAAUGAUACGUAGCCGACCUGAGAGGGUAAUCGGCCACAUUGGGACUGAGACACGGCCCAAACUCCUACGGGAGGCAGCAGUAGGGAAUCUUCCACAAUGGACGAAAGUCUGAUGGAGCAACGCCGCGUGAGUGAAGAAGGGUUUCGGCUCGUAAAACUCUGUUGUUAAAGAAGAACAUAUCUGAGAGUAACUGUUCAGGUAUUGACGGUAUUUAACCAGAAAGCCACGGCUAACUACGUGCCAGCAGCCGCGGUAAUACGUAGGUGGCAAGCGUUGUCCGGAUUUAUUGGGCGUAAAGCGAGCGCAGGCGGUUUUUUAAGUCUGAUGUGAAAGCCUUCGGCUCAACCGAAGAAGUGCAUCGGAAACUGGGAAACUUGAGUGCAGAAGAGGACAGUGGAACUCCAUGUGUAGCGGUGAAAUGCGUAGAUAUAUGGAAGAACACCAGUGGCGAAGGCGGCUGUCUGGUCUGUAACUGACGCUGAGGCUCGAAAGUAUGGGUAGCAAACAGGAUUAGAUACCCUGGUAGUCCAUACCGUAAACGAUGAAUGCUAAGUGUUGGAGGGUUUCCGCCCUUCAGUGCUGCAGCUAACGCAUUAAGCAUUCCGCCUGGGGAGUACGGCCGCAAGGCUGAAACUCAAAGGAAUUGACGGGGGCCCGCACAAGCGGUGGAGCAUGUGGUUUAAUUCGAAGCUACGCGAAGAACCUUACCAGGUCUUGACAUACUAUGCAAAUCUAAGAGAUUAGACGUUCCCUUCGGGGACAUGGAUACAGGUGGUGCAUGGUUGUCGUCAGCUCGUGUCGUGAGAUGUUGGGUUAAGUCCCGCAACGAGCGCAACCCUUAUUAUCAGUUGCCAGCAUUAAGUUGGGCACUCUGGUGAGACUGCCGGUGACAAACCGGAGGAAGGUGGGGAUGACGUCAAAUCAUCAUGCCCCUUAUGACCUGGGCUACACACGUGCUACAAUGGAUGGUACAACGAGUUGCGAACUCGCGAGAGUAAGCUAAUCUCUUAAAGCCAUUCUCAGUUCGGAUUGUAGGCUGCAACUCGCCUACAUGAAGUCGGAAUCGCUAGUAAUCGCGGAUCAGCAUGCCGCGGUGAAUACGUUCCCGGGCCUUGUACACACCGCCCGUCACACCAUGAGAGUUUGUAACACCCAAAGUCGG
rnacentral:rRNA from 1 species